rnacentral:rRNA from 1 species
AACGAACGCUGGCGGCGCGCCUAAUACAUGCAAGUCGAGCGAGAAGACGUAGCAAUACGUUUGUAAAGCGGCGAACGGGUGAGGAAUACAUGGGUAACCUACCCUCGAGUGGGGAAUAACUAGCCGAAAGGUUAGCUAAUACCGCGUACGCUCCUUGGACUUCGGUUCAGGGAGGAAAGCGAUACCGUGGGUAUCGCGCUCUUGGAUGGGCUCAUGUCCUAUCAGCUUGUUGGUGAGGAACGGCUCACCAAGGCUUCGACGGGUAGCUGGUCUGAGAGGACAAUCAGCCACACUGGCACUGCGACACGGGCCAGACUCCUACGGGAGGCAGCAGUAAGGAAUAUUGCGCAAUGGGCGAAAGCCUGACGCAGCGACGCCGCGUGAGGGAUGACGGCCU